AAAGUACUCCCUCCGUUGGAAUUACUUGUCUCGAAAAUGAAUGUAUCUAGAUGAAUUUUAGUUCUAGAUACAUCUGUUUCCGAGACAAGUAAUUCCGAACGGAGGGAGUAGUAU
rfam:Triticum urartu cultivar G1812 contig1026172, whole genome shotgun sequence.